ensembl:lncRNA uncharacterized LOC115378811
CGGGGGGGGGCGAAAUAUGAAAUCAAAAGGGCGUGAACUAUCAAGACAGCCCGCUGUGCCACUAUCUCACCAAGGUAGCAAAGGUACAAGGCAAUUACGGAUGCAAAAACCAAAGAGCCUGGAAAGCCUGGAAGAAAGUCCCUGAUUAUUGUGGAGAAAAGUCGGGAGCUCUUAAGACCUUCCCGUCUCUCAUUGAGAUGAGAGAUCAUGGGAUGAGAGUCAAUGAAAAGCAAUGCUCGGAAAUUGAGUGGAUACCGCCAAAUGAAGGGAGCCAGUCAGCCAGGCUCUAUCCUUUCCAUAGUCCACAUGGAAAAGACAUCAGGCAAAUUGAGAAGCUUUUUAGACAAAAGUGAUUAAAAGUUGCCCAAAUCCAGGAUCGAUUGGCUUGGAUCUCCCGGCGGACUGACUCCAGAGGAGAAGCCUCAUUCUGGUGACGGCAAUCAUCCAGCACAAUAAACUGAACCGAGACCUUGUGAGGACAAAUCAAUCGCUUCAUUAUCAGCUCAAGUGCUCAAUAUCAUGAUAUCCCCUGUCUCUCUGUUACCAUUGUCUCCCUCUGUUUUAAUGACAAUCUGAGAGAUCUGGAAUUCAUUUAGAAGUGAAAUAAAAUGACUUCAAGUGAU